GACUGCUCAGGUAGCCUAAGUGGCUAUAGCGUCCGCCUCGAAAGUGGGAGGGUAGCGGGUUAGAACCCCUGCCGAGUCA